rnacentral:rRNA from 1 species
AUGUUGAAAAUGAUCGGCUCCACACGAAGAGAAGCACACCGGUUGGAAAGAAUUGACACGACAACCUCAAUGAUCAAGAAGGAUAAGAAAUCACAUAGAAAUAUGAGAACACCAUUUAGGAAAGGUAUGGAUUCAACACUUGACAUUGAAGCAAUUCGAAUACCACAAAUAAAACAAAAACAAAGGAUUUGGCUUGCAGAAAUAAGCCGGAACAAACAUAUGAUAGAGAUUCCGUCCGAAGUUUUCGUGGUGGGGCCCACACGGGCUCGAGUGUACAACACCAUCAUGUACAAGGCAGUGCACAUGACAUACAAAGUGUCCCUGAACCAGCAUAGCCAAGGGUUCUUUAAGACACAACGAGACCACUGUAAAAACGACCGUGGAAAGGCGGACCACUAG